rnacentral:rRNA from 1 species
GAUGAACGCUGACAGAAUGCUUAACACAUGCAAGUCAACUGUGGCGGACGGGUGAGUAACGCGUAAAGAACUUGCCUCACAGAUAGGGACAACAUUUGGAAACGAAUGCUAAUACCUGAUACUGUGAGAGAGCUUUGCGUCCCAUUAGCUAGUUGGAGAGGUAACGGCUCACCAAGGCGAGGAUGGGUAGCCGGCCUGGGAGGGUGAUCGGCCACAAGGGGACAGGGGAGCGGGCCUUACGCAUUCGGGAGGCAGCAGUGGGGGAUAUUGGAAGAUGGACCAAAGUCUGAUGCAGCAAUUCGGGGUGCACGAUGAAGUUUUCGGGAUGUAAAGUGCUUUCAGUUGGGAAGCGGUACCAACAGAAGAAGUAACGGCUAAAUACGUGCCAGCAGCCGCGGUAAUUC